rnacentral:rRNA from 1 species
UACGUAGGGUGCAAGCGUUAUCCGGAAUUAUUGGGCGUAAAGAGCUCGUAGGCGGUUUGUCGCGUCUGCUGUGAAAACUGGAGGCUCAACCUCCAGCCUGCAGUGGGUACGGGCAAACUAGAGUGCGGUAGGGGAGAUUGGAAUUCCUGGUGUAGCGGUGGAAUGCGCAGAUAUCAGGAGGAACACCAAUGGCGAAGGCAGGUCUCUGGGCUGUAACUGACGCUGAGGAGCGAAAGCGUGGGGAGCGAACAGG